GAUGAACGCUGGCGGCGUGCCUAAUACAUGCAAGUCGAGCGAACAGAUGAGGAGCUUGCUCCUCUGACGUUAGCGGCGGACGGGUGAGUAACACGUGGAUAACCUACCUAUAAGACUGGGAUAACUUCGGGAAACCGGAGCUAAUACCGGAUAAUAUAUUGAACCGCAUGGUUCAAUAGUGAAAGACGGUUUUGCUGUCACUUAUAGAUGGAUCCGCGCCGCAUUAGAUAGUUGGUAAGGUAACGGCUUACCAAGGCAACGAUGCGUAGCCGACCUGAGAGGAUGAUCGGCAACACUGGAACUGAGACACGGGCGAGAGUACGACGGGAGGCAGCAGGGGGGAAGAGUGGGAAAUGGGAGAAAGCAUGAUGGAGCAAUGACGCGUGAGUGAAGAAGGUCUUAGGGUUGUAAAGCUCUUUUAUUGGGAAAGAAAAGAAGGAGGUGAAUACCUGGAUGUUAUGACGGUAACCAAAGAAUAAGCAACGGCUAACUUCGUG
rnacentral:rRNA from 1 species